GUGUCAGCCGCCGCGGUAAUACAGAGGUCCCGAGCGUUGUUCGGAUUCACUGGGCGUAAAGGGUGCGUAGGUGGUGGGGUAAGUCGGAUGUGAAAUCUCGGAGCUCAACUCCGAAAUGGCAUUGGAAACUACCCUGCUGGAGGUUUGGAGGGGGGACUGGAAUACUUGGUGUAGCAGUGAAAUGCGUAGAUAUCAAGUGGAACACCAGUGGCGAAGGCGAGUCCCUGGACAAAACCUGACACUGAGGCACGAAAGCUAGGGGAGCAAACAGGAUUAGAUACCCUGGUAGUCC
rnacentral:rRNA from 1 species